ACCCCCUAACAACGGGAAAAGAAACACUUUGUUGGUGGUAUUGUUCUUACAUCAGCCAGGGGCAAAACAGAUAGCACGCCUUUGUUCAUCCUAGCUUGAUGCCUGGCUUCUUGGUCAAACCUGUUUCAUGCCUAGGACACAAAA
ensembl:snoRNA